rnacentral:rRNA from 1 species
CUUGAACGCUGGCGGCAUGCCUUACACAUGCAAGUCGAACGGUAACAGGUCUUCGGAUGCUGACGAGUGGCGAACGGGUGAGUAAUACAUCGGAACGUGCCUAGUAGUGGGGGAUAACUACUCGAAAGAGUGGCUAAUACCGCAUGAGAUCUACGGAUGAAAGCAGGGGAUCGCAAGACCUUGUGCUACUAGAGCGGCCGAUGGCGGAUUAGGUAGUUGGUGGGAGAAAAGCUUACCAAGCCGACGAUCUGUAGCUGGUCUGAGAGGACUAUCAGCCACCCUGGGACUGAGACACGGCCCAGACUCCUACGGGAGGCAGCAGUGGGGAAUUUUGGACAAUGGGCGCAAGCCUGAUCAAGCAAUGCCGCGUGCAGGAUGAAGGCCUUCGGGUUGUAAACUGCUUUUGUACGGAACGAAAAGCCUUGGGUUAAUACCCUGGGGUCAUGACGGUACCGUAAGAAUAAGCACCGGCUAACUACGUGCCAGCCGCCGCAGUAAAAC